GAUGAAGAACGUAGCUAAAUGCGAUAAGUAAUGUGAAUUGCAGAAUUCAGUGAAUCAUCGAAUCUUUGAACGCACCUUGCGCCCUUUGGCUAUUCCGAAGGGCAUGCCUGUUUGAGUAUCAUGAACACCUCAACUCUCAUGGUUUGCCAUGAUGAGCUUGGACUUUGGGGGUCUUGCCGGCCUAUGGGUCGGCUCCUCUCAAAUUAAUCAGCUUGCCAGUGUUUGGUGGCAUCACAGGUGUGAUAACUAUCUACGCUUGUGGUUUUCCAUCAGGUAACCUUCAGUGAUGGAGGUUCGCUGGGGCUCAUAAAUGUCUCUCCUCAGUGAGGACAGCUUUUUUGAACGUUUGAUCUCAAAUCAGGUAGGACUACCCGCUGAACUUAAGCAUAUCAAUAAGCGGAGGA
rnacentral:misc_RNA from 1 species